rnacentral:rRNA from 4 species
AGCAUUAUACCGUGAAACUGCGAAUGGCUCAUUAAAUCAGUUAUCGUUUAUUUGAUAGUACCUUACUACUUGGAUACCUGUGGUAAUUCUAGAGCUAAUACAUGCUAAAAACCCCGACUUCGGAAGGGGUGUAUUUAUUAGAUAAAAAACCAAUGCCCUUCGGGGCUCCUUGGUGAUUCAUAAUAACUUCUCAGAUCGCAUGGCCUUGCGCCGGCGACGGUUCAUUCAAAUUUCUGCCCUAUCAACUUUCGAUGGUAAGGUAUUGGCUUACCAUGGUUUCUACGGGUAACGGGGAAUUAGGGUUCGAUUCCGGAGAGUUAGCCUGAGAAACGGCUAACACAUCCAAGGAAGGCAGCAGGCGCGCAAAUUACCCAAUCCUGAUACAGGGAGGUAGUGACAAUAAAUACUGAUACAGGGCUCUUUUGGGUCUUGUAAUCGGAAUGAGUACAAUUUAAACCUCUUAACGAGGAACAAUUGGAGGGCAAGUCUGGUGCCAGCAGCCGCGGUAAUUCCAGCUCCAAUAGCGUAUAUUAAAGUUGUUGCAGUUAAAAAGCUCGUAGUUGAACCUUUGGCCUGGCUGGCAGGUCCGCCUCACCGCGUGCACUUGUCCGGCCGGGCCUUUUCUUCUGGAGAACCGCAUGCCCUUCACUGGGUGUGUUGGGGACCAGGACUUUUACUUUGAAAAAAUUAGAGUGUUCAAAGCAGGCCUUUGCUCGAAUAUUACAGCAUGGAAUAAUAAAAUAGGACGUGCGGUUCUAUUUUGUUGGUUUCUAGGACCGCCGUAAUGAUUAAUAGGGACAGUCGGGGGCAUCAGUAUUCAAUUGUCAGAGGUGAAAUUCUUGGAUUUAUUGAAGACUAACUACUGCGAAAGCAUUUGCCAAGGAUGUUUUCAUUAAUCAGUGAACGAAAGUUAGGGGAUCGAAGACGAUCAGAUACCGUCGUAGUCUUAACCAUAAACUAUGCCGACUAGGGAUCGGGCGGUGUUAUUAUUUUGACUCGCUCGGCACCUUACGAGAAAUCAAAGU